AUGCAAACAGAGGCAGCCAGGGGACACGGAGGAGGCCGGGAAGACGGGGAUGAGUGCCCGGGUGCAGAGGUCAGGAGGUCAUCGGAGCUUGGCGCAGAUCUAAACGGCGAGGCCAACGUGGGACUUGGAUGCGCCGGUGGAAGAGAUGAACGGCGCGGCGGAGCUCGCGCAUCGGGCAGCGUCACUGGACGAGGAGGAGGUUGCGGCCUCACGAUUUUCGGCAGCGGGGCAUGGGUCACCGGCGAGCAGCAGGGUCCCCGGGCGCUGCGCGCAGGACAAUGGCGAGGAUGCGAGGGAGAGGGGUCGCAUAAGGUGGCGGUGCUCAUUGGUGCUGGUCGUUGGAGCAAGUGGCGGCGAGGUGCGGCGCUGGGGCGCUCAAGAUCGAGUGAGGAGGGCUGCAGGGAUGGAGCUGUGCGGGCGUGGGGCUUGACCGCGAGGAUGGGUCGAGAGAAUUGCGAGAGGGAUCAUGCAAGCGGCGGCGGGCAGAGGGAACGAGGGGAAGGGAGCGAGGGCAAAAACAAAUCACACAAUGAAUCUCGGAAAGCAUGGAAGGCAUUCGGAGCACCGGUCUUGGGGCGUCACAGAUACCUCGGCCGCCGGACACAUGGAGGAGAAAAUCCCCCUGGAGACUGGCGAUGGGGGCCAUGUCCAAUUUGGCCCCUAGCUGAAUACUAUUUCAGAGGCCCAUAUGGCUCCGGAGUCAGGCAAGCAGCCUCCUUCGAAAGAAGGAGGUGCACCUAUUCUGACCUCUGUCCAUCUGCUACGUCUUGA
rnacentral:rRNA from 1 species